rnacentral:rRNA from 1 species
CCUACGGGUGGCAGCAGUGAGGAAUAUUGGUCAAUGGACGAGAGUCUGAACCAGCCAUGCAGCGUGAAGGAAGACUGCUCUAUGGGUUGUAAACUGCUUUUAUACGAGGAUAAACCAGAGUAUGCAUAUUCUCUUGUAAGUACUGUAUGAAUAAGGAUCGGCUAACUCCGUGCCAGCAGCCGCGGUAAUACGGAGGAUCCGAGCGUUAUCCGGAUUUAUUGGGUUUAAAGGGUGCGUAGGUGGAUUGAUAAGUCAGUGGUGAAAUGUUGGAGCUUAACUCGAGAAUUGCCUUUAAAACUGUCGGUCUAGAGAGUAGAUGAGGUAGGCGGAAUGUAUGGUGUAGCGGUGAAAUGCUUAGAGAUCAUACAGAACUCCGAUUGCGAAGGCAGCUUACCAGUCUAUAUCUGACGUUGAUGCACGAAAGCGUGGGGAGCAAACAGGAUUAGAUACCCUUGUAGUC